GAGCCCUUCACCUGGCAGGCGACGGCGGCCAACCACGGCCGGGCCUCCAGCGCCCCGCUCCCGAGGCCCGCACACUCGCCGGCCCAGCCACCAGCCCAACGGCCGACCAGCCGCAGCCGCUUACCGGUGGCGCCUCGCUGCCUCCCCGGAGACAGCCCUUCAACGGUUGCCGCAGUCAGAGCACCACCCCGCGGUGGGGUACGUCGAACCCGCCCGCAGCUCUCGGAUCCGCUCAGCUCCACCACUCUCGCGAGAGGUCAGAAGACUCCGCGAAGUGGGGGAAGGAGAAGGGAGGGGCAUUUAACGGUGGUGGCUGGUUCUGCGCCGGAUCCGGGAGUCGGGAGGACGCCAUUGUGCUUCGCGGCCGACUCUUCUGCCUCUAUUAGAGGCCUCGAACUCCGAGGAGGAAGGCGGCGGUGUGAUCGCUGGGAGCGGGAGGCGCCCUGUUCAGUGCCAGCUCUGGAGCAGGGGAAACAUUAAGAAUGGAGUCUAAACCUUCAAGGAUUCCAAGAAGAAUUUCUGUUCAACCCACUAGCUCUUUAAGUGCUAGGAUGAUGUCUGGAAGCAGAGGAAGUAGUUUAAAUGAUACCUAUCACUCAAGGGACUCUUCGUUUAGACUGGAUUCUGAAUAUCAGUCUACGUCAGCAUCAGCAUCUGCAUUACCAUUUCAGUCUACAUGGUAUAGUGAGUCUGAGAUAACUCAGGGAGCACGCUCAAGAUCGCAAAACCAGCAACGGGAUCAUGAUUCAAAAAGACCUAAACUUUCCUGUACAAACUGUACAUCUACCUCAGCUGGGAGAAGUGUUGGACAUGGUUUAAAUGCAGUAUCAGAUUCUUCUUGGAGGCAUAGUCAAGUUCCCAGAUCUUCAUCAGUGGUACUUGGAUCAUUUGGAACUGACUUAAUGAGAGAGAGGAGAGCAGAUUCCUCCAUUAGUAAUCUUAUGGAUUAUAGUCACCGAAGUGGUGAUUUCACAACUUCAUCAUAUGUUCAAGACAGAGUUCCUUCUUCAUAUUCACAAGGAGCAAGACCAAAAGAGAACUCAUUGAGCACUUUACAAUUGAAUACAUCAUCUACAAAUCACCAAAUGCCUUCUGAACAUCAGACCAUACCAUGUUCUAGGGACUCUGGUAGAAAUUCUUUAAGAUCAAAUUUUUCUCCAAGAGAAUUAGAAUCUCCCCAAAGCAGUAUACAGUCUGGAUUUUCUUAUAUUUCAAAUAGAGGUGAAACCUCAACUAUAGGCAGUUCAAAUAGGGUUGGCUCAUCUCAAAGAUCAUUUCAAGAAUCUUCUGAUAAUGAAGGUAGACGUACAACAAGGAGAUUGCUGUCACGUAUAGCUUCUAGUAUGUCAUCUACUUUUUUUUCACGAAGGUCUAGUCAGGAUUCCUUGAAUACAAGAUCAUUGAGUUCUGAGAAUUCUUACAUUUCUCCAAGAAUCUUGACAGCUUCACAGUCUCGUAAUGCAGCAUCAGCUUCUGAUGGUCCUGAUAAUAGGGCAUCCGAAGCUUCUCAGGGAUUUCGAUUUCUUCGGCGAAGAUGGGGUUUGUCAUCUCUUAGCCAAAAUCAUAGCUCUGAGCCAGAUUCUCAAAAUUUUAACCAAGAAUCUGAAGGUAGAAAUACAGGACCAUGGUUAUCUUCCUCACUUAGAAAUAGAUGCACACCUUUGUUCUCUAGAAGGAGGCGAGAGGGACGAGAUGAAUCUUCAAGGAUAUCUACCUCUGAUAUACCAUCUAGAUCUCAUCACAUUUUUAGAAGAGAAUCAAAUGAAGUGGUUCACCUUGAAGCACAGAGUGAUCCCCUUGGGGCGGCUGCCAGCAGACCACAAGCAUCUGCAGCACCAAGCAGCGCUGCUGCGGGUGGCUCCACAUCAGAUGCGGCUCACAGUGGGCGAAGUUCAGGAAUAACAGGGAUCCUUCCUGGUUCCUUAUUCCGAUUCGCGGUGCCCCCAGCACUUGGAAGUAAUUUGACCGACAAUGUCAUGAUCACUGUAGAUAUUAUUCCUUCAGGUUGGAGUUCAUCUGAUGGAAAAAAUGAUAAAACUAAAAGUGUACCCUCAAGAGACCCAGAAAGACUGCAAAAAAUAAAAGAGAGCCUCCUUUUAGAGGACUCUGAAGAAGAAGAAGGUGAUUUAUGUAGAAUUUGUCAGAUGGCAGCUGCAUCAUCCUCUAACUUGCUGAUAGAGCCAUGCAAGUGCACAGGAAGUUUGCAGUAUGUCCACCAAGAGUGUAUGAAAAAAUGGUUACAGGCCAAAAUUAACUCUGGUUCUUCGCUAGAGGCUGUAACCACCUGUGAACUCUGUAAAGAGAAGUUGCAGCUUAACCUGGAGGAUUUUGAUAUUCAUGAACUACAUAGAGCUCAUGCAAAUGAACAAGCUGAGUAUGAGUUUAUCAGCUCUGGUCUCUACCUAGUUGUGUUAUUGCACUUGUGCGAACAAAGCUUUUCUGAUAUGAUGGGAAAUACGAAUGAACCAAGCACACGUGUCCGAUUUAUUAACCUUGCAAGAACUCUUCAGGCACAUAUGGAAGAUCUCGAAAGUCCUCAUGGACCUUUAAUAGGCAGCCAGCUCCGCCAGCAGCUCCAAUCUCUUAAGAUCACGUUCCAGCUUUAGGACUUCUGCCUGGGCUCCUAUGUGAAGGCACUUAAUGCCCAAAUCUUUACAGGCAUCUGCACAGCUUACUCUCUUCUCAAAGUCCUACAACCUCCAGGGUGCUUCAUACCAGCUUCAGAGGAUGAUUCUGAAGAAGAUGGAGACCAUAACAGAACAUUUGAUAUUGCCUAACUUCAUAUGAGACAAAUGGAUGAUCUGUGAACAGUGUUUAUUAAAACUGGCAAUUAAGUAUGAAUUAAUUUUCUGGGGAAAUACCUAUUGAACACAUUUACUGUCUAUAUAUAGAAUGAAUAUAUAUAUAUACACACACACACACACAUUAUGCAUGUAUAUAUAUGUUCAUUCUCAAGUGUUGCUGAAUUAAAAUUCUGCUGGGCCUUUUAACAUGGCCAGUGAAUCUGAUGUUUAUAAACUGGUAAUUAAAAGUAUUUUUCUUUUAGAUGAGUGGGGAAAGUGUUACCCUUGUUUUAAAUAUCUAAGCAAUGCUGACAGCCCUUUUUUGUGUUGUGAUUACUGUAGUUAUAUUUAUGAAAAAAGGUUGGUGUUUUAGUCUCGUUAGUGAAAAAAGUGGGACAAAAUAUGCUUUUAGAAUAAAUUGCCAAAUGGCACCUAAUUAUUUUUCUUUUUAAAAUGCCUUAAGUUGCGGUCUCAUUUUCAUAAUCAUUUGCUUCCAGUGUUUAAAAAAAAAGAAUGGGGAGAAAGUUAAGAAGAGCAUUCAUUAUAUUAGGUUUCCAAAUUUAAUUUGAAUUCUGAAUUCACUUAGCAAUGAAAUCUAAUUUUUAAAAUAUAUAAAUAAAGUGUACAAAUGGAUAAAUUUUUGUAUUGAUAUGCAAAAUGCAGAUUAUAUUUGAUAGGCCAUAGUAUGUAGAUAUUCCUUUUAGGAAUAUUACAGCUGUAAAUUAUAUCAGAAUUUGCCAGUCAGAUGCUAUUUGGUUAAAAGUAUUAUUGCAGUCUCAAGUUAACGAAAUAUUUUUAAACCCCACAUUCAGAGUUUAAAACACUGGUUUUCAAUGUGUUUUUUAGUGUUGUCACUUCUUUAUAGAUAAAUAUGAUAUAAAUAACCUGUUUGGAUCCUGGUCGUUUUUAACUGUUCCUUGGUAAUUCUAAGCAUUUAUUUGAUGACUUAAUAUUUUUCACUACCUUUAGAGAAGAGAUGAACAUUAACUGUUCACCAUACUGUGGUCCUGAGUUGUGUAUAUGUCCAUAACACUGUAUAUUUUCUCUGUCAACACCCUUAGGAUACACUUAAAAAUGCCUUCAGGCGGGUUUCAGGUUAAAUAAAGUCUUUUGUCAAGCUACUUUUUCAGAACCUAAAUAGAAACCAUGUAAUUUCUCACGUGUGAAUCAACAGUUUGCCCACAUUCAGUCAGAUUGUUGGUCUUAAUGUAAAACUUUGGCUUGAAAUAAAGUGCAUACUGAUUGAUUUA